ACAGAGCUGCUGUUAAUAUGCUUUCCAUGAAUUCAUCAACCUUGAAUCAUUACGAUUUUUUGGUGAUGGUGUAGAGUAUAGUUUGAUGCUACUAAAGAAGGUUUGUCAUUUAUGGUGGUAUUUUGUGAAGGGCAGCGACAACGACGACGAAGUGGCUGUAGAUUUGGUUUUGGGUUUAGGGAGUUGGGAUGGGGGUAGGGAAG
rnacentral:lncRNA from 1 species